AUUAAAUUGUACAGUAAUAAUAAUAACAAGAUUAAAUUAUAUAAAAUUUUUCUACAAACAUCUAUUUUUUUAUUUCUUUUUUACUUUCAUAAACCUAUAUUAAUUAUCUUCUUAAAAUUUUAAAAAUAUUAAUAACGAGGGUAAAAUUACCGAAUUGAGAGACAGAGCUAUUAAUAGACCCAAAGGGGCUAUGACCCCUCUCAACUUUCAAUAUUACUUUAUAGUCCUUUGAUAGUUUAUAAAUUUUUAGUUAAUUUUCAAAAUAUAUGGCGGCCCUAUAUAUCUUGUAAAAAGUUUUUAGUGAGAGUAUAGAGCUCUCUCUUUUCUUAUGUAUUUUUUAGGUGAAAAUAUGCUAAGAACUUCUUAUUUAUAGUGUAUUUUAAAAUAAGUCUUUUCAACUUUAAAUAUUUUAUUUAUACGUUCUUAACUUUCUAAUUAUUUUUGAUAAGCUAAUUUAUUUAACUAAAUAAAAUAGUAUGCUAAAUUUAAUAGUUCUGUUAGAUAUUAGUCAUUGGUUGUUAUUAUUUUAUUAACAAAAAUUAAAAAGUUAAAUUAUAACUAAAUUACUAUUAGAUUUAAUAAAAUUCUUAAGUUAUUUGAUUAGAAGAAUGUAAAUAAAUUAAUUAGAAGUUAAGCGAGUGUAAAUUAACGAAAUAAAUUUAAUAUUUUUUUAACUUUAAUUAUCUAAUCACUAAAUUUUUUUUAUUAAAAAUUUGAGUAGUUAAAAUCUUAUUUAUCUGCUAAAAUUUUUAUUUGUACAUAUUUUGACCCUCCUUGUGAUUGAACCCUCGCUUCGUCCCUGAGGUCUAAAUUGUCCUUCUAUAAGAAUUUUUUAAAAUUAUUUUUAUCAUUUUGAAAAAUAUUUUCGGUAUAAAUUAUAAGAAAUGGACGGAGUAGUGAUGAAACCUUGAUGGAGAGGGGCUAAAUGCAACCAUUUGAAAUAUUGAGAGGGUAAAAUAUAGGAUUUUGAAAGUCAGAAAGAAAAGUAAAAAAAGUAGUUAUUUAUAAUAACAUUUUCUAUAAUUUAGCCUAAUAAUAAAGGUAAAUUACACUUUUGGUCCUCAAAUUAUGAGGCUUGUGUUAUUUUAAUUCUCAAAUUUUAAUUUGUUAUAAUUUUUAGCUUCAACUUUUCCAAUUGUUACAAUCAAGUCUCACAAUCCAAAAUAAUUGGCUAAAUAUUGACAAAUUAUUAAUAUAUAAGUGANAUUUUUUUAACUUUAAUUAUCUAAUCACUAAAUUUUUUUAUUAAAAAUUUGAGUAGUUAAAAUCUUAUUUAUCUGCUAAAAUUUUUAUUUGUACAUAUUUUGACCCUCCUUGUGAUUGAACCCUUACUUCGUCCCUGAGGUCUAAAUUGUCCUUCUAUAAGAAUUUUUUAAAAUUAUUUUUAUCAUUUUGAAAAAUAUUUUUGGUAUAAAUUAUAAGAAAUGGACAGAGUAGUGAUGAAACCUUGAUGUGGGGGGGGGGACUAUUUGAAAUGUUGAGAGGGUAAAAUGUAGGAUUUUGAAAGUCAGAAAGAAAAAGUAAAAAAAGUAGGUAUUUAUAAUAACAUUUUCUAUAAUUUAGCCUAAUAAUAAAGGCAAAUUACACUUUUGGUCCUCAAAUUAUGAGGCUUGUGUUAUUUUAAUUCUCAAAUUUUAAUUUGUUAUAAUUUUUAGCUUCAACUUUUCCAAUUGUUACAAUCAAGUCUCACAAUCCAAAAUAAUUGGCUAAAUAUUGACAAAUUAUUAAUAUAUAAGCGAUAUAAUAUUUUAAUUAUUAUCGUAUCAUCAAUUAUAAUAUUUUUACAUUAUUUUUAUAUGACAAUUUAUCAAUACUUUGUUAGGAUUUGGUUAGAUUUGUAGUUGAAUCCUAAUUGGAUUAGAAUUAAUAUUUAAAUCUAUUGGAGAUAAAUUAAGAUUUAAAUAUUAAUUAGAGUAGAAAUCUAAUUGGAUUAGAAUUUGGGUAGUUUUUGAAAUAAGCUAUAAAUAUAGCAUAUGUACUAUUAUUGUGUGGUGGUGGUACGGAUUAGCCACUCGUAUAGCAUGGCUAAGGUGGUCAUGAUUUUGGAUGCACCUAAGGCGUAGGUACAAGAGGACGUAAGCGGCUUUCGUAGUUGUGGGUCAUUAGUAUUUCUUAUACACGGGUGCACAGGAUGAGAGAGAUGUCUUCUGAGACUAUAGAAGACGAGAGAUUCAAAAAGAGGGCCCGGGUUGUAGCAACUCUGUUACAAAAGAGGAGUGAGGUGUAAUCUUUUUUAUUUAAUGAAUCUUAUUUUGCCCGUAUAUUUUCUGUUUGAUUGUUUUCUCUCUUUAUGAUUGUAUCAGCUUUUGCUGAGAAGAUGAGUUUAUAGUAAAAAUUCGAUUUGACGCUUCCGUUGUGGAAUCCGAACAAUCGGUACCGGAUCAACAACAGUAGGUAUCAGAGCGGAUUGCAGAUUCUCAAAAUCUGGUAUCAGGGCGAGUACCGGAUUCCCAACAUACUUAAUUAACAAACUAAAUUGGGUUUUAAAAUUUGAUUGCAAUAAUUUAAAAAGUUUCAAACUAAAAAUUACAAUAAAUUAAAGUUUGAAGACCAAAAUGUAUUAUUUAUCCUAACAAA
rnacentral:lncRNA from 1 species